rnacentral:rRNA from 1 species
AAGGUAGCGAAAUUCCUUGUCGGGUAAGUUCCGACCUGCACGAAUGGCGUAAUGAUGGCCAGGCUGUCUCCACCCGAGACUCAGUGAAAUUGAACUCGCUGUGAAGAUGCAGUGUACCCGCGGCAAGACGGAAAGACCCCGUGAACCUUUACUAUAGCUUGACACUGAACAUUGAGCCUUGAUGUGUAGGAUAGGUGGGAGGCUUUGAAGUGUGGACGCCAGUCUGCAUGGAGCCGACCUUGAAAUACCACCCUUUAAUGUUUGAUGUUCUAACGUUGACCCGUAAUCCGGGUUGCGGACAGUGUCUGGUGGGUAGUUUGACUGGGGCGGUCUCCUCCUAAAGAGUAACGGAGGAGCACGAAGGUUGGCUAAUCCUGGUCGGACAUCAGGAGGUUAGUGCAAUGGCAUAAGCCAGCUUGACUGCGAGCGUGACGGCGCGAGCAGGUGCGAAAGCAGGUCAUAGUGAUCCGGUGGUUCUGAAUGGAAGGGCCAUCGCUCAACGGAUAAAAGGUACUCCGGGGAUAACAGGCUGAUACCGCCCAAGAGUUCAUAUCGACGGCGGUGUUUGGCACCUCGAUGUCGGCUCAUCACAUCCUGGGGCUGAAGUAGGUCCCAAGGGUAUGGCUGUUCGCCAUUUAAAGUGGUACGCGAGCUGGGUUUAGAACGUCGUGAGACAGUUCGGUCCCUAUCUGCCGUGGGCGCUGGAGAACUGAGGGGGGCUGCUCCUAGUACGAGAGGACCGGAGUGGACGCAUCACUGGUGUUCGGGUUGUCAUGCCAAUG